GAUGAACGCUGGCGGCGUGCCUAAUACAUGCAAGUCGAGCGAACAGAUGAGGAGCUUGCUCCUCUGACGUUAGCGGCGGACGGGUGAGUAACACGUGGAUAACCUACCUAUAAGACUGGGAUAACUUCGGGAAACCGGAGCUAAUACCGGAUAAUAUAUUGAACCGCAUGGUUCAAUAGUGAAAGACGGUUUUGCUGUCACUUAUAGAUGGAUCCGCGCCGCAUUAGCUAGUUGGUAAGGUAACGGCUUACCAAGGCAACGAUGCGUAGCCGACCUGAGAGGGUGAUCGGCCACACUGGAACUGAGACACGGUCCAGACUCCUACGGGAGGCAGCAGUAGGGAAUCUUCCGCAAUGGGCGAAAGCCUGACGGAGCAACGCCGCGUGAGUGAUGAAGGUCUUCGGAUCGUAAAACUCUGUUAUUAGGGAAGAACAAAUGUGUAAGUAACUAUGCACGUGUUGACGGUACCUAAUCAGAAAGCCACGGCUAACUACGUG
rnacentral:rRNA from 1 species